UACGGAGGGUGCAAACGUUGCUCGGAAUCAUUGGGCGUAAAGCGCACGUAGGCGGCUCGUUAAGUCGGAUGUGAAAGCCCUCGGCUCAACCGUGGAAGUGCCCCUGAUACUGGUUGUCUCGAGGGAGAUAGGGGCGUGCGGAACUUUUGGUGGAGCGGUGAAAUGCGUAGAUAUCAAAAGGAACACCGGUGGCGAAAGCGGCGCGCUGGAUCUCUACUGACGCUGAGGCGCGAAAGCCAGGGGAGCAAACGGG
rnacentral:rRNA from 1 species